rnacentral:lncRNA from 1 species
AGUACACCUCCGAUCGGUGGCCAAACCGAUCCGGUGUCAUGAAUACCCCCAAGUGCCGUGACUAAGUCAUGCUGGUAUGCUCAAACAAAAACGAACCCGGCUAAAGCCGGUGCCUAGGCCGAAGCCAACAAUGAGGGCGUACAAUGCCAAACUAAAAUAGAUACUAGGGCGUACAACGCCGAACCUCGAUCAACCAGAUCGAAACACACGACAAGAGAGUCGAUGUGUUGCCUGGACCCAAGGUCCACAGA